rnacentral:lncRNA from 1 species
AACACAACUUUUUUUUUUCUUGGCAACUUCAAAUAUCACCCCAGUGUUCCUGCACUUUUUAUUUUAGAUUCUAUAAUUUAAAUUAUAUCAAUUUAGUAUUCCAUAAUUUUAUUUUUCUCGUUUUGUCAGCGCUUCCGUUAGCAUUUCGUUAAAUUAUAUACAAAAAAAACUUUAGAUAUCCCACUUAUGUUUAUCGAAAAUUCACUUUAUUAUCUUUUAGUUUUAACUUUGUUACUGCUGAUUUAACGAAAAAAUUAAUAAAAGGGAUAAUAAAAAGAAAUAAAUAAAAUCAAGCGUACUAAAUCGAUACACUUUAAACCACCAAAGUGAGAAAGUUCGAACCCACACCGUGGUAUUUGAAGUUGUCCUUUUUUUUUUUUUUUUUCCCCAAGAGAAAAUUAUUUUGGGUUUUGCAUGGUAGCAUGAUUAGCACCCUGCUAGGUAGUUGAUCAGUUGGUAAGUUUAGGUUAAUCUCUCAUAUGGCUCCCUAUAAAUAUAUCAAAUAGUAAAUAUAUUUUUAUAAAGUUUAACUUCUUAUAUUUACUUCUGUAAAAGUUAAAUGAUAUUUAUAUUUAUCCCUUCAAUUUAUAAUUACCAUUAUAAUACUAUUUAUUUUUUAAUAAAAAAAUAAAAUAAAAUUUUUGCCAUUAUAAAUACGUCUUUCCAAAAGCUCCCAACGUUUAGAAUUGUGCAGAAGUUUUCUAAAAAUUUCAAAUAUUCAUCUUUUUUUUUUCUAUGAUCACAAAUAAUAUAAAAAGAAUAAAAAGGUCUAUUUACCUCAUUAACUAAUCAGGAUUUAGUAUUUUAUUUAUUGUUAAUUGUAUUUUUCUAACGGAUCCUAACAGUAGGGGUAUAUUUGAAAAGUAGUAUACUUGAAAAGUUAAAUUUUAUAUAAAUAUAUUUACAGAGAACUGUAUGUAAUUAA